AAAUUGGUACGAAUUAUUUCAUAUUUAUUAUAUUGAUAUAAAAAUAUAUGCAAAGUUAUUCCUAUGAAUGGUUCUAUUUCUUUGCCUCAUUUAUCUGGCUCACUAAUUUUUCCACGCUCUUGAAUUGUAGGUGCCUGCGUGGGCCUGCAACUGCAAACAGUAUUGCAUGUCAGGAUAGCUCUUCUCACGUUUAGCGAUUUCCUCUUUCAACGCUAAGCUCUGCUCUCUCGUUCUUCGACUGGGCCCUUCUGAUGUCGUCUAUCUGGCUUUUUUUCUGCAUAAAUGGCAAUACCGACCCGCCGAAAUUUAAUUACCGCGCGUCAUUUCUGUACGCUCGCCCGGAUGCAAUGCGAACUAGACGUCGGUCUUAGUGCAGUGUGAUAUCAGUCAAGUUAACGGGUUUGCCCAAGCAGCGCGUUCCACUCCACACCGCCGGAUAUAUGUUGACAUAAUUUAACAUCAUUGAACGGCCGCCCAAGACCGAGCGCCUUCUCAUCAGCGUCUCGAAGAGACUCAGAUGUUUUUCAGGCGCCUUGUCAAACUCUGAAGCGUCUGCCAUCCAGUGCGAGGGUUAGCACUCCGUCGUUAGUAACAUCAAUCAAUACUGCGUAUCAGAGAAGGGUGUCUUUCUCAUCCAUCGUCUGCAGGUAUCACUAAUAACUGCCACUACAGCUAGGAUUGCCUGCCCAUCUUCUUUCAAGGUCGUUUUGUACCCGUUAUUUUCCAACGAGUUGCCUGCCAGAUGGUCACGUGGCGACUAGUCACGAGGUCUGGACGACGACAACCAUGACCAGCAUAACGUCAAAAUCUGAUCAAGAUUAAACGUCUGAUAAAUGGCAUUUGUGGAAAGAAAAAAACGUACAAAAACUAUAAAGAGCCUGUGGUGUGCAAAAUCUAUUAGAUCAACCAUUUAAUCAGUUAAGACGGAUUACUCUAAUGUAGGAAACACGUUUUGGAAAAGACAGUUUUCUCGCAUUUCGUGUAAUAUUUGUGAAGCUUGUGGUCUCCGGCGAUAUCUCAGUGACAGUCGACUAAUGAACGACGAUCAAGCCAUUGAUGUACUGAUGCGAAGUGCCAGUCACCUUUGCUACACCUCGUGGCUGUUCCCUUUUAAAGAAUAUUACACAGUGAGUUGUUACAUAGAUCGAGCUCCGAGGAGCGCCGUGAGUGACGCUGGCGCAGUAAGAGGACGCGAGAAGUUGCGAUCGGCUAAGAGAGAAUAACGGAAGGUGUGAGAGCGAAAGGAGCCAGGUAAGGGGCUGGCGAGAACAUUAAGCAUUAUUGUACAAAAGAGCGUCGGCAGCGGCCAAAUACGGCAUGCUAGAAAUUACGCCUACAAGCCAGCGUUAUGUCUCCUCCAUAGCCUAUGGAGAGUUGGAACGAUGUGUGAACGAGUUCAGAAAGUCGGCAAGUCGAAAAGCUAAGCAAAAGCAAUCUGUCGGGAGCUGAGCAUACCUAACACUACUGGCGAAGCUGGAUAUGUAAAAAAAUAUUGCACUUGUCAGCCUAGUUUAGAAUAUCACCCGGAGCACAUACAAUUCUUAUACGAAGCGUUCGAACGAUGACUGAUUCCAGUAAACAGUUCGGCAUCGAAGUAAAACAACGUCACCGCCAAUGUCGUUUAUACACAGCCUGUGAAACGCAGUUAGUGAUUUCUAAAUGGAUGAUUCGGAUAGGAAAGAAUAAAAAGAAGCCGUUAUUUUGCUAUAAGCAAAAGACGUGAGGCGGCAUAAAGUAAGGUCCGUGAACCUACGAGCGAUCUCGUAUGGAGGGUACAGGUUAUGAAUGUUGUCGUUUCAUAUAAAAAAUAAGACAGAAAUACAUUUGGU